UAGGGAAUCUUCCACAAUGGACGAAAGUCUGAUGGAGCAAUGCCGCGUGAGUGAAGAAGGUUUUCGGAUCGUAAAACUCUGUUGUGAGGGAAGAACAAGUACAGGAGUAACUGCCUGUACCUUGACGGUACCUCAUUAGAAAGCCACGGCUAACUACGUGCCAGCAGCCGCGGUAAUACGUAGGUGGCAAGCGUUGUCCGGAAUUAUUGGGCGUAAAGCGCGCGCAGGCGGCCUUUUAAGUCUGAUGUGAAAGCCCACGGCUCAGCCGUGGAAGGUCAUUGGAAACUGAGAGGCUUGAGUACAGAAGAGGAAAGCGGAAUUCCACGUGUAGCGGUGAAAUGCGUAGAGAUGUGGAGGAACACCAGUGGCGAAGGCGGCUUUCUGGUCUGUAACUGACGCUGAGGCGCGAAAGCGUGGGGAGCAAACAG
rnacentral:rRNA from 1 species